rnacentral:rRNA from 1 species
CAGCCGCCGCGGUAAUACGUAGGUGGCAAGCGUUAUCCGGAAUUAUUGGGCGUAAAGCGCGCGUAGGCGGUUUUUUAAGUCUGAUGUGAAAGCCCACGGCUCAACCGUGGAGGGUCAUUGGAAACUGGAAAACUUGAGUGCAGAAGAGGAAAGUGGAAUUCCAUGUGUAGCGGUGAAAUGCGCAGAGAUAUGGAGGAACACCAGUGGCGAAGGCGACUUUCUGGUCUGUAACUGACGCUGAUGUGCGAAAGCGUGGGGAUCAAACAGGAUUAGAUACCCUGGUAGUCCACGCCGUAAACGAUGAGUGCUAAGUGUUAGGGGGUUUCCGCCCCUUAGUGCUGCAGCUAACGCAUUAAGCACUCCGCCUGGGGAGUACGACCGCAAGGUUGAAACUUAAAGGAAUUGGCGGG